AGAAGAAAACCGCGAGCACAAGUUGUCAAGUUGCAUUUGCCCAAAAUAUUUGACUCACUCUUCGUCGCCCCAACCUUUCCCUUGAAUAGAAAGAGAGAGAGAACAUUUUUGUUACCAAAGCUACCAAAGGAAGCCAUGCCUGAGAUUUCCACUGCGAGAUCGCUUCGACUUCUCGUUUUCUUAUCUUCAUUCCUUCUUCACUCUUCUACAGGUUUAUCAAAUGACAAGCCAAGCUCCAAAAAUGAUAGCAAGGAUGGUGCGAUUAAAACUCACAAUAGUGGUACUGGGACCAAGGUGGCUAUCAUAUGCAUUGUUGUUGCAGCUGUGGUGCUUUUUUCUUUUUUCCUCUUCAAGCUAUGGCAGAAAAAGAAACGAGAGGAACAAUAUGCCCGUCUUCUAAAGUUGUUUGAAGAAGAUGAUGAGCUUGAGGUGGAACUGGGUCUCAGAGAUUGAGUGUGCAUUAUGUCACUUGUGGAGUCCCAGGUAAUAUUCUUUGUUAUAUCUCAACUGUGGUUCCUUUCAGAAUAAGAAUUCCGGUGAUCAUUGGUGCUGUCUUCUGGGUUCCGGUCUAUUUCCUCGUAAAUUGUUGUAUUUGUCAGCAGAAUGAACCUAAAAUUAUAAGGCAUCCGAGUACUAUGGCAACUAUACAUAAUAGAAGCUUCAAUGUAAAUGCUUUUGAUUCACAAUUUUGUAAAGAUCUUGGACAUGGUGAAGUGACGUAAUGAAGUUAUAUUCAUGCAAUAGAAGUUGCAUUUUCGUAAAA